UACUACAGCCGCGACUGGCAACACUUUCUCUUCGAACCAAAUGACAGCCAACGUCAUGAAUAUGACACAUGAAAGCCAUCUUUGUAAACAUUACGAACAACGUGAUAGUGCGGUUAAACGAAUUGUUUCUUAAAAGUUAAUUUCGAAGCUUAUUACAAACAAAGCUUAAAUACCGCGAAUCCGUGAGAUUAGUCCGAUUCAUAGUGCGUGAAUUUGCGCUAACAUACAGCUUGAGUGGUCGUUAAGCAAGGAAUAGACUCCAAGGAGCUCACUAAAUUCGAUUAAAAUCGAGGGAACACUAUUUUCUUGAAGCGCUUAAUAAAACUUGCUAUCAAGAAGAGUGUUUGCCUGUGUAGUUCUUCGAGAACACUAUCAAAAGAUAGAUAUAAGAUUAAAGUAGAGAUUGAUAUAUAGAAGAAGAAAAUAGCGAUUGAUAGAUCGAAGAGGAAAGAUUGGUAGAUAGAAGAAAAACAUAGCGAUUGUAAGGCAAGACUUGACAUUUCUAUUGUAUUUUCAUACUGCUUGCUAUCUAACAACGACUAAUACAACACAAAUAAGACAAAGUUUUAUAAGACCUUAAUGUUGAAACUACAUAGACAAUAAACAACACUAUGCUAGCGCAAUGACGAUAACAGACCUAAAGGACGGACUCGACAAAUAAUCAAAGACUAAUUACCUAAAGACAUACAUCGUACUUACAGAACACUAAGAUGUUUAAACUGAACUAAAACUUCAUCUUUAUUGACUGACUUGACUGACCAAAACACGUUCCUGAAAAUUUCCAAGAAGAUUAUGUGAGCUGAUUCCUACAGUCCGGUGUUUAUUUGGUCAACGUAGACUAAUUCUUCCGGCAUAAUCACUUGUUAAUUUUCAAAAAACCGACCCACCCCGAUCAUAGCAAUCCAAAGGGGCAAAAAAAUGUGUUAUGUCUGUUUGUGUCAAAAGUUUACACAGGAUUUUCAAUAAAAUUUGUUUUAGCCUAAAUAUCUGUUAUCUGUGGAAUUACUAAAGGAGUGUCCUUAGAAAUUAAAAGCCUAAUUUUCUAAAUUACAUUCCUGGAGGAAUUUUAUAAGGAAUGGUGUUCCGUACGGCAUUACUUAACCGUGUACGCCACAGUUGAAUCAUCCAACGCGAACGCAAUGUGUGUAUAUGCGUUUCAACAGGAAGAGAGAAGGACGAAAGAGAAAAUUUAGAAACGGCGCGAAAGCGUGCGCAACGGAAGGACAAGAACAUUUUGAAUCGUGUUUGCCUUCAUUUUAUACAUCACUCUCAGUC